rnacentral:sRNA from 1 species
AUGCAGAGGACACACAUUCUGGGGCUUGGGCAUCAGUUUCCUGUGUCCAGGUUACAGAGGAGUCCUAAUUCUAUUGAUCCCACAUUCACUCUUGGCAGAGGCCGCCCCAUCGUGUCCGCCAGUGCCUCCCUCACCAUCUUCCCUGCCAUGUUCAACCCAGAGGAGCGCAGCUGCAGCUUAGAGGGGAACCCUGUGGCCUGGUGAGGGUGCCCAGGAAAUUGCAGAGACCUGAGCAUGGGAGUGGGCAGGGGUACCAAGUCUGCCUUAAGAAGGGGAAAAUGGUGGUGUCCUAGUCUGGGUCUGGCUGGGAGAUGGGUAGAGGAUAGGAUGUCUGUUCCAGUUGGAUUCACCAGCUUUCUUCUUGGUCUUUCUCCAGCAUCAACCUUAGCUUCUGCCUCAAUGCUUCUGGAAAACACGUUGCUGACUCCAUUGGCUUCACAGUGGAACUUCAGCUGGACUGGCAGAAGCAGAAGGGAGGGGUACGGCGGGCACUGUUCCUGGCCUCCAGGCAGGCAACCCUGACCCAGACCCUGCUCAUCCAGAAUGGGGCUCGAGAGGAUUGCAGAGAGAUGAAGAUCUA